UACGGAGGGUGCAAGCGUUAUCCGGAUUUACUGGGUUUAAAGGGUGCGUAGGUGGGUAGGUAAGUCAGUGGUGAAAUCUUCGAGCUUAACUCGGAAACUGCCAUUGAUACUAUUUAUCUUGAAUACUCUGGAGGUAAGCGGAAUAUGUCAUGUAGCGGUGAAAUGCUUAGAUAUGACAUAGAACACCGAUUGCGAAGGCAGCUCACUACGCGGUCAUUGACGCUGAGGCACGAAAGCGUGGGGAGCAAACAGG
rnacentral:rRNA from 1 species